rnacentral:sRNA from 1 species
UGGUGGAUGAGUGGCCGGCGCUACCGC